GAUGAACGCUGGCGGCGUGCCUAAUACAUGCAAGUCGAGCGAACAGACGAGGAGCUUGCUCCUCUGACGUUAGCGGCGGACGGGUGAGUAACACGUGGAUAACCUACCUAUAAGACUGGGAUAACUUCGGGAAACCGGAGCUAAUACCGGAUAAUAUAUUGAACCGCAUGGUUCAAUAGUGAAAGACGGUUUUGCUGUCACUUAUAGAUGGAUCCGCGCCGCAUUAGCUAGUUGGUAAGGUAACGGCUUACCAAGGCAACGAUGCGUAGCCGACCUGAUAGGGUGAUCGGCCACACUGGAACUGAGACACGGUCCAGACUCCUACGGGAGGCAGCAGUAGGGAAUCAUCCGCAAUGGGCGAAAGCCUGACGGAGCAACGCCGCGUGAGUGAUGAAGGUCUUCGGAUCGUAAAACUCUGUUAUUAGGGAAGAACAAAUGUGUAAGUAACUAUGCACGUCUUGACGGUACCUAAUCAGAAAGCCACGGCUAACUACGUG
rnacentral:rRNA from 1 species